rnacentral:rRNA from 1 species
UACGUAGGUGGCGAGCGUUGUCCGGAUUUACUGGGCGUAAAGGGAGCGUAGGCGGUUUUUUAAGUGGGGUGUGAAAUCCCUGGGCUUAACCCAGGAAUUGCAUUCCAAACUGGAAGACUAGAGUGCAGGAGAGGAAAGUGGAAUUCCAAGUGUAGCGGUGAAAUGCGUAGAGAUUUGGAGGAACACCAGUGGCGAAGGCGACUUUCUGGACUGUAACUGACGCUGAGGCUCGAGAGCGUGGGGAGCAAACAGG